rnacentral:rRNA from 1 species
AGCUCCAAUAGCGUAUAUUAAAGUUGCUGCAGUUAAAAAGCUCGUAGUUGGAUUUGUGGCGCGGCCGUCCGGCGGGGGUCCUUCUAUGGUCUCGUUUGUCCUGGUUUUCGGCCGCUCCUUUCUCGGGUAGAGCGUAAUGGCUGGCAUUAGGUUGUCGGCCGCUUCGCGCCCGUCGUUUACUGUGAAAAAAUUAGAGUGUUCAAAGCAGGCUUAUGCCGUUGAAUAUAUUAGCAUGGAAUAAUAAGAUAGGACUUGUUUGCUAUUUUGUUGGUUUGCGCAAAUAGGUAAUGAUUAAUAGGGACAGUUGGGGGUAUUCGUAUUCCAUUGUCAGAGGUGAAAUUCUUGGAUUUUUGGAAGACGAACUACUGCGAAAGCAUUUACCAAGGAUGUUUUCAUUAAU